GGCCGUUUCUCUGGCUCGAUCUGCUGCUACGGUGUCCAGGCGGCCGGAAGGAGAUGGUCGGUGGUUGGAGGGGCUGUAGGCGCGCUGGUCUUACACGGUGAGGGUUGGCGAGGUGGGCUACUCGGGUCCACUGGUUGGAUGGUUAUGGUUGCCGGCGAAAGCUGAACUCCGGCAGUGGCUGGAGUUGUCGAUGGCGGCACCGGCAGACCGUUUCCUUGCUGAAGGUAUCAAUGUUGCAGUCCUCACCUUCCACUGCCCCAUGCCUCCCCCUGUGAUUCACUGAAAACCUGAUUCGAUCCAGUUUGCAUGCUUUGUACUGUAUUGCGCAGCAGCCAGACAUGCCCAUCCGGCCCGAAAGGAAUCGGCAAGCUGCAGAUUGAUCAAGCUAAGUAAUUUUCUUAUCUUUGUUUGCACGGCCAUAUAGCACGCCUUCUUGCUGAUUACUUCUUCCCGUACACUCACCUGAAACAACAUAGAUUCACUAAUUGAUUUCGGCCAGAUGCGCUGAUAUAGAAAUUUAGCUUGAUUAGUUAAUCUUCAGCUAGAUGAGCGCACACAUGUAACACACAGAACGUGCAAACACGGGAAAAUCUAUUGGAUGGCAAUAGGUGUGUGAUGCACCUAUGUUUUUAUUGUUUUGAUCUGGUCAAGUUCACAGGGGUUCUUAUUUUCAUAAGGCCAAAUGGUGUUCAUCAAUGCUUUGGAUAUGUUUCCCCUUUUUGCUAUGUAUGUUUUCAUGAUAUUUCUCUUGUCCUUUACAUAAAAUAUCUUUCCAUUGCCCCUCCGAUGACUCCCAAAUGUUGUAGUUCAUCUGUCAAAAAAGGUGCUUUGCCUGAUAAUAUUUUUUUUGUUAUGUUUGUUCAACAGUACACAGCAACAUUGAUUGUGCUAGGCGUGAUGGAAAUGUGAUGCUCGCAGACACUUGUCAAGAUGCGGAAGGAUGGGGACACAAUGGUGAGGAACUUGGGUAUAUGAUUGAUAGACAUGAUCAGAAUAUGCAUGCCACAUUAGGUUGACAUGUAGUGGAGAGGAGCCAAGGUAGGGGUGGUGAAGGGAGGCAUUGGAAGAACAAAGAAGAAGGUAUUUGGCAGGAAAUAAGGCAAAAAAAUCAGUUGGACACAUAGCUUUAGCAAAAAUGAGCUCAUCAUUUUUGAGUGUUUACUACAUCCUGGUCAUCUACAAGUACUACAAGACAUCAUAUGUAACUACAACCUUUCUCUUCAACAUGUCGUUUAUUUUGCGGGUGUCAUGUCUUUCAUUUUUGCGGGUAGCAUUUAUGUUGAAGACAAUUCUUUAUUCCUUUGUAAGGUGAAAUACAAGCAUGUUAAUUAUUGUAUGAUAUAGAUUUUGUUUAUAUAUACUUAUAUAGUAUUUAAAUUCAACAUGUCGUUUAAGAGAGAGAGAGAGAGAGAGAGAGAGAGAGAGAGAGAGAGAGAUUACCACUCAAAUUAGUAUUUAAUGUAAUGAAGGUCAGACUCUUGUCUGGUUUGCAGGAGAGAGGGAGGUGUUGGCCGGGUCAUGGUUCAGUUUACUGUGGAUUUUCAGUUCUUUUCACCUCAUAAUUAUCUUUAUUUAUAUGUUAAGUUUUUUUUUUCUUUUGGUCCUUCCCAAUUGAGGCUUCUUGUGCACCUUGAUUUAGUUAUGUUCUUUGUUUGGUGCCAAUGUCUUAGGACAAUACUUUCAUGCAUGUAUUAUUUCCAGCAUUCAAAUUUGAGACCUUUGUUCCACUAGGUUCGUUGCAUUCACCUUAUUGAAGAUAAUAAACACUUAUUGAGGAACAUGCUAAGGAUGGAGGAACGAACGUCAAG
rnacentral:lncRNA from 1 species